AUACGGAGGGUGCAAGCGUUAUCCGGAAUCAUUGGGUUUAAAGGAUCCGUAGGCGGAUAAUUAAGUCAGGGGUGAAAUCCCACAGCUCAACUGUGGCACUGCCUUUGAUACUGGUUAUCUUGAGUUAUAGGGAAGUAGAUAGAAUAUGUAGUGUAGCGGUGAAAUGCAUAGAUAUUACAUAGAGUACCGAUUGCGAAGGCAGUCUACUAUCUGUAUACUGACGCUAAGGGACGAAAGCGUGGGGAGCGAACAGGAUUAGAAACCCCAGUAGUCC
rnacentral:rRNA from 1 species